UACGUAGGGGCGAGCGUUAAUCGGAAUUACUGGGCGUAAAGCGCACGUAGGUGGUUUGCUAAGUCAGCUGUGAAAUCCCCGGGCUCAACCUGGGCACUGCAGUUGAAACUGGCAAGCUAGAGUAGGGUAGAGGGGUGUGGAAUUCCAGGUGUAGCGGUGAAAUGCGUAGAUAUCUGGAGGAACAUCAGUGGCGAAGGCGACACCCUGGACUCAUACUGACACUGAGGUGCGAAAGCGUGGGGAGCAAACAGG
rnacentral:rRNA from 1 species